UUUCUGGCGGGAGCGGGUGGUCCGGCACUUUGUGUUGGUACUUUCCUGUCUCUUGCCAUCCUUGGGUCUAAGCUGUCUGGCAUUUAGUUGUCGGGCAGUGGCUGCCCAUCGUUUACUGUGAAAAAAUUAGAGUGUUCAAAGCAGGCUUAUGCCGUUGAAUAUAUUAGCAUGGAAUAAUAAGAUAGGACCUUGGUACUAUUUUGUUGGUUUGCGCACCGAGGUAAUGAUUAAGAGGGACAGUUGGGGGUAUUCGUAUUCAAUUGUCAGAGGUGAAAUUCUUGGAUUUCUGGAAGACGAACUACUGCGAAAGCAUUUACCAAGGAUGUUUUCAUUAAUCAAGAACGAAAGUUAGGGGAUCGAAGAUGAUUAGAUACCAUCGUAGUCUUAACCAUAAACUAUGCCGACUAGGGAUUUGUGGGUGUUAUUUUUGACCCCAUGAGCACCUUAUGAGAAAUCAAAGUCUUUGGGUUCCGGGGGGAGUAUGGUCGCAAGUCUGAAACUUAAAGAAAUUGACGGAAGGGCACCACCAGGAGUGGAGCCUGCGGCUUA
rnacentral:rRNA from 1 species